GACGAACGCUGGCGGCGUGCUUAACACAUGCAAGUCGAACGGUGAAGCGCCUUCCUUUUUGGUGGGUGUGGAUGAGUGGCGAACGGGUGAGUAACACGUGAGUAACCUGCCCCCUUCUUCUGGAUAACCGCAUGAAAGUGUGGCUAAUACGGGAUAUUCUGGGUCUGUCGCAUGAUGGGUCUGGGAAAGAUAUUGUUUCGGUGGGGGAUGGGCUCGCGGCCUAUCAGCUUGUUGGUGGGGUGAUGGCCUACCAAGGCGGUGACGGGUAGCCGGCCUGAGAGGGUGGACGGUCACACUGGGACUGAGACACGGCCCAGACUCCUACGGGAGGCAGCAGUGGGGAAUAUUGCACAAUGGGCGCAAGCCUGAUGCAGCGACGCCGCGUGAGGGAUGGAGGCCUUCGGGUUGAGAACCUCUUUCGCCAGUGAAGCAGGCCUGCCUCGUUUGUGGGUGGGUUGACGGUAGCUGGAGAAGAAGCGCCGGCUAACUACGUG
rnacentral:rRNA from 1 species